rnacentral:rRNA from 1 species
CUUAGAGUUUGAUCCUGGCUCAGGAUGAACGCUAGCGACAGGCUUAACACAUGCAAGUCGAGGGGUAACAGAGAGUAGCAAUACUUUGCUGACGACCGGCGCACGGGUGAGUAACGCGUAUAUAACCUACCUAAUACAGGGAGAUAGCCCAUGGAAACGUGGAUUAAUAUCCCAUAGUACUAUUUUUUUUCAUGAUUAAAUAGUUAAAGAUUUAUCGGUAUUAGAUGGAUAUGCGUCCUAUUAGAUAGUUGGUGAGGUAACGGCUCACCAAGUCGAUGAUAGGUAGGGGUUCUGAGAGGAAGAUCCCCCACAUUGGUACUGAGACACGGACCAAACUCCUACGGGAGGCAGCAGUGAGGAAUAUUGGUCAAUGGGCGAGAGCCUGAACCAGCCAAGUCGCGUGAAGGAUGACUGCCCUAUGGGUUGUAAACUUCUUUUAUAUGGGAAGAAUAAGAACUACGUGUAGUUCGAUGCCGGUACCAUAUGAAUAAGCAUCGGCUAACUCCGUGCCAGCAGCCGCGGUAAUACGGAGGAUGCGAGCGUUAUCCGGAUUUAUUGGGUUUAAAGGGUACGUAGGCGGUAUCGUAAGUUAGUGGUUAA